rnacentral:rRNA from 1 species
GAUCGAGUGGCGGACGGGUGAGUAACGCGUGGGUAACCUGCCUCAUACAGGGGAAUAACAGUUGGAAACGGCUGCUAAAACCGCAUAAGCGCACGGUAUCGCAUGAUACAGUGUGAAAAACUCCGGUGGUAUGAGAUGGACCCGCGUCUGAUUAGCUAGUUGGUGAGGUAACGGCCCACCAAGGCAACGAUCAGUAGCCGGCCUGAGAGGGUGAACGGCCACAUUGGGACUGAGACACGGCCCAAACUCCUACGGGAGGCAGCAGUGGGGAAUAUUGCACAAUGGGGGAAACCCUGAUGCAGCGACGCCGCGUGAGUGAUGAAGUAUUUCGGUAUGUAAAGCUCUAUCAGCAGGGAAGAUAAUGACGGUACCUGACUAAGAAGCACCGGCUAAAUACGUGCCAGCAGCCGCGGUAAUACGUAUGGUGCAAGCGUUAUCCGGAUUUACUGGGUGUAAAGGGUGCGUAGGUGGUGAGACAAGUCUGAAGUGAAAAUCCGGGGCUUAACCCCGGAACUGCUUUGGAAACUGCCUGACUAGAGUACAGGAGAGGUAAGUGGAAUUCCUAGUGUAGCGGUGAAAUGCGUAGAUAUUAGGAGGAACACCAGUGGCGAAGGCGACUUACUGGACUGCUACUGACACUGAGG